rnacentral:rRNA from 1 species
UUUUGGACAAUGGGCGCAAGCCUGAUCCAGCAAUGCCGCGUGCAGGAAGAAGGCCUUCGGGUUGUAAACUGCUUUUGUACGCCCCCCAAACGGUCCUGGUUAAUACCUGGGGCUAAUGACGGUACCGUAAGAAUAAGCACCGGCUAACUACGUGCCAGCAGCCGCGGUAAUACGUAGGGUGCAAGCGUUAAUCGGAAUUACUGGGCGUAAAGCGUGCGCAGGCGGUUUUGUAAGACAGGCGUGAAAUCCCCGGGCUUAACCUGGGAAUGGCGCUUGUGACUGCAAAGCUGGAGUGCGGCAGAGGGGGAUGGAAUUCCGCGUGUAGCAGUGAAAUGCGUAGAUAUGCGGAGGAACACCGAUGGCGAAGGCAAUCCCCUGGGCCUGCACUGACGCUCAUGCACGAAA